GCCACAUGAUGACUAUAGACGCGGCGGCAGCCUUCGGGCCAUGGCGACCUGCUAUCUAUCACCCUUGUCUGAUGGCU
ensembl:snoRNA SNORD83 Small nucleolar RNA SNORD83